GUGCAGGCAGGAAGUGACAUUUUGGGAAGCACUACCUGGAGGUAACUGGAUGAGCAGUUUCCUGGAUUCGAGGGGAGAUGGAAAUCUCAGUGCUCACGCCUGUGCUUGGACAUCGGCUAACGUGCCCUCGGAAGCCUCGUUAGUGGAUGCUCCCCGGAGCACCAGGACAAUAGAUAACUGAUACAGCAGCCACCAACUGGAAGUGAAUCCACACCUUGCACUGUUGGGAGAAAGACCUAGAAACAUCGGACUCUGAAAUGCCUUUAGCCGCAUCCAGCUCACCUCUGCCCUUUUUUUCCUGCACCUGAGUUGCACUGGAUUUUCCUGCUGUCCUUGAAUGUGCUGGGAAGCCUGCAACGUUAUCAUCCCACACUUUCCCUCUGGCCACAGGCACAGAUGCCUCUCUCCUGCGCUGCCCUCCCCUCCAGCAAGCCUGCCCUGACUCUCGGAGGAGGGUAGUCCCCACACAGCAUGGCCAAGUCCCUCUGUACUCCCAUGUUACACUCUGUGCCUUUGGGUCCUCCACCGCCGUGGCUCUGCUGUUGAGCACAGCCUGGCACAUGAUUCAUGUGUGUGGCCAAAGGACAAUCUCAAGACUGUUUAAAGCCUCGCAGUGUACAGCUGGGGGGUCUCUUCUCUCUGCCUUUGCACAAGUCUGCAGUCCAGACCUGGACACGUGGACAAGACAGGCCUGGAGCCAGGAGGCCAACAUGAGUUAAGGAUCCGUAAACCUCUCCUACUCGGCGGGCAGUCCUGGUGGACCGGGGUCUAACGGCGUGGGUUUGAGGCCAGAUAGACCCACGCUGAGUUCCAGUUUAGCCACUAGGCUGGGUCUCAAUUUCCUCAUAUAUAAAACGAGGACGAUGCUGGUGCCUUCCUCUUUGGAUUGUUUCACUGGGUUAAAGAGGUAGAGAAUUCAGCCAGGAUUGACACAGAGAUAAAUGUUUAUCAGAAACAAACGCAGCAGAACCGUCUAGGUAUAUUUUUGCCCCGAGGUGGUGUGUUUGCUCUGCACAGAAAUCCUCACUGGGAAGAGUAACCCUAGGGUAAGACAACGUAGAACUAAGUGCUAGAACCCAGGGAAGAGCUUUAAAUAUGAACUAGCUCAAUUCCUUCCUUCUUGAGCUGUGUAGCACACCAACAUUAGCUUCAUUCCACAGAUGAAUAAACUGAGAAGUCUGUUUUGGAAAUCUCUUGGGAGGCUCCAGAUGGUUUCAGGCUGCUUAGCAGGGGGCGGUUUGGGUUGGGAUGAGAGAACCCUUUCUUAGAAUCCAGCAGAGAGUCCUAAUGUAUGAGGAACCACUUACAAUAAAAUGACUUUCUAUUCUUUAAUUAAAA